rnacentral:lncRNA from 7 species
ACACAUUUAAAAUUUUGUAUGAUACUUGUUUCUAGGGGACAGAUUUGUUGUUGUUGCUAAUUAAUACUAACUUCUUGUCAUAUUUGAGAAAUAUAUGGGAAGGUGUGAGAUUCUCUACUGGUAAAUAGUCAGGCUCUCAUCCUAUUAGGAAAAUAAUUUCAUUUCUUAUUUUGAAACAGCAUCAGGAUCAGAGCUGAAGUGAUGGCAAGCUGGAAACAGGCUGUAAUGAGCUGAAAAGAAGGAGCAUGAAGGAGAUCAAUUUAAAUCAAGAAACAGUACUAAAUAGAGCAUUAAUUUAUGGAUAAUAGCAGAAAAAGCAAAGAGAAGAGAAAUGGAUGCUUUUAACGUAGUGAAGUACACCUGUGGGCUCCAUGCUUGCAGCUGCCUGAGAUAGUCAUCCAAAUAUGCCACCCUGCCUCUACCAGCCUGCCAACAGAAGCAGUGUGUUCAUGCUGGGCUUUUCAGCUGUGUGGCAGUGCCACAUAGACCUUCUGUGACUCAGCCAAAGACGAAGUUCAUGUACAAGAAGUACAUCUCAGGUCUGGGUUUUCUUGUUUGGCUUUUUAUUCAUAGGUACAUAGCACCAAAAUGUUUCUUCUAAGUGUUCUUGCUGAAAGCUGUUCAAACGUGUAUUGUCUGGAAGAAGACUGACAAAAUUAUAACUUAGAGCUGUCAAGCUUUACCACCAUUACACCUCCACUCAGUUUUUGUUAAUUCUGCUACAUUGGCUGUUAGACUUAAACCAUGUAUUAUACAGACAGCACUGAGACCAGUGAGACAGGAUGGGAAUAAGGAUUACAGGGACUGAAGACUUGGAACAACUUUUUUCUGCUUUUAAGAGGUUCUAGACAUGAAAACUGUUUUUCAUAUGUGAAUGACUGAAGUAUAUAACCUCAAAAUAAUUGACAUGAAAAAAAAAAGGAAGCAUUUUCAUAACAAGUACAUCAGUUUGUACCUAAACAGGAAAGUCUGCAGCAGAAUUAAGCACUGAAUUAUCUUGCUGAAAUUAAAACCACAAAAUCUCUUUGUUUAGUCUGUCUUAGUGAAACUAAUAUCAAGCUUUGCUUUGAGCAAUGGCAUAAUAACAAAUUCCCUAUUCUAUGAGGAUAGCAGCAAAUCAAACUGGUGUAUCUACACUUGCAUCUGAAAAUUGUGUAUAUCUUGGUAGAUAGUCAUGCCUGAGGCUAGGUUAGCUCAUUCAUGGAGAAAGAACUUGGUUGUUGCUGCCUUGUGUGUGAAGAAGUCUCUGCAUUUAUUCUGUUUGUCCUUUACUGGGUAAUAUCCCUUGCCAUGACAGCCAUCCAUCUAUGCUGUUCACCUGUUGUUUCAUUCCUGUGUAUGCAGAUAUGCAGAAACACAGAAUUCAGAAUUGCACUCCACCUCAUCCCUGUUAAAGUUCCUUGCAAACAGAGAAUUUUUGUUGACACUUUAGGAUCUUUCUGUGAAAUUAUUUUUCUAUAGCUUGAGAUACGGCAAAAAAUUAGUCUUUCUCCAAAUACAGAAUAAAUCGGUACAUAGCUAUUAUAAUGUUUUUCACAUUAUCUUAUGGUUAGCUUGAAAAACAUGCAAGAUCAUCAGUGGUGUCUAGAUUUUUCUGUAUAGUAAUAAAGGAUCAUGUUUUCCA